GUUUGAUCUCAGGCCAUGAAGGGUUGCAGGUCAUUGUAAUGAACAGAUCUGGUUUGCCGAAUUUUUGUACAAGAGCCAUGGCGUCAACAUAUCUUCUCCUCAUAUCACGUGGACCACCUAUAAAUGAAGCUGGGAGGAUUACUCGCUGCCCUACCCUUGAUCCCUGGCAAUGCCCUGCUACUACACUGUCCAUUAUACCUUGAAGCUGCUCUCUUCUUAUUAAUUCUUGUCGAUUCUUGUAGUAAUCAAGUCUCUGGGUUUCUAUCUUUAUAUACAUAUCAAUCACAUAUUGUUGUAGCAGUCUGCCAGUAUUAAGUACACUUGGAGUAUAUUUUUCUCGCAUCUGCAAUUUAUAUGAAUAAUACUCACGCAUUGAUACAAACUCCUUAUUGUUUUCCAGAUCGUUACAACCUGCAAUACAAUUGUUCAAUGUAAGCAUCAUAAUAUUUAUAAGUAUAUACUGGAGAAUAUAAUUCUAGAUUAUGAUUCUAUGCAUACCUUGCUCCUCAGCAUCUAGUAGCUCUUGUGCAGAUCUGUAAUUAGGAAAAGGAGUAGUGCAGCUAGCUUUUUUGUUGCAUCUCUUUCUCUUCUUUGGAUUUUCCAUAGUUAUCCUUCUUAUACCAGGAUGCCAUCCAGUUUCUCCAAGCGGGAAUAACAGUGGAUACUGCAAUGGAUCAUAGCAUCCAUAAUAGUAUUGUAACAGGUGGUCUUUACCCUCUUUUGUAUAGAUUUGAAUAUGUCUCGUGUAUCCUUCUUUAAAUUCCUGACCCUCCACCCAUAAAGCUGCAAUUUGAGAUGCAGUUGGUUGGUUGAAGACCCUCUGAUCAUUUUCUGAAUGGGAUUUAAGUACUAUCUGGUAUGAGUCAAGAUCUGGAACAUGUUUUAAGCUUCGAAGAAAAGAAGCCUGCAGAUAGACGCCAGAACCUCCAGAUGGAAUCAGAUCUUUGAUGAAGUGAUAAGUUUGUCCUUGGACUUUGAAUGUGUAAAUGCCAUUAGUUCUUUUGCAGAGGGAUUUAUCAUAAUGCACUCCAAAAGAGGUGAAGCCAAACAUGUUGUUGUAUGUCCUGACAUAUGUUCUAAAAGAAGCAGCUUCAUCAGACCGACCAGUAUAUAGUUCUAUCAAAAUAUCCGGAAGUUUGUUUUGCUGGAGAACCACUUCACCAUUAGAACAACAAAAAUUUGGUGUUUCAGAAUGGAACUUUUUUGCCUCACAGUAACUGCAAUGUGGCUUUGAAGGCAACAUGUCUGGUUCAUCGUUAAUGAAUUUCAAUGCUCCAAUCCCAUCUGGAUUUGUUCUCCCUACAAUACAUUCAAUGUAAUUGUAACUAUUGAACAGAAGAGUAGAGGUUUGGAACAGAACUCUACAUGUACAAUAAACUAUAUUCAAAAUACCUUUUGGUCU